AUGUUGGUUACUGUGUGUGUGUGUUGCGCUAAUCGCCUGUUUAUCAUGUGUUUUUUCACUUCAGAAAUGGUUUCAUUCAAGGCAGUAGGCGAAACUGAGGAGACCAGGAGAAUGCAGACCUAUACCUGGACCCAAAGUGGACUGGAUCGAUCCGUCGCUGGACAAUCCUCAAGUCCCCAAGUUACCAGUGGUCAGAUGAGUGAGAUUCCAAGCAGCUAUUCUCGUCAAUAUGGGCCAGUCAGACCAGCUGUCCUGUAUAUAGAAGGUGGUCAAUGCCUACCACACAGCGGACAAGUAACCAGUGGAGGUUACUGGAGUGGACCGACCCUCAAUCAACAGGCUUCAAUGGUUAACAUAAACUCAUCUCAGCAUUCACCCACCAGAGAGCAAGUUCUGAUGGGUACUAGUCCCCUUUUGACAUCACUCUGGACUAACAAUGCAGCGGCUCCUCAAUCAACUGGUGUUACAUCACAAAGUGGAAACCAUCACACCUUGCCCGGAAGGGUUAACAGUGUAGCUCUUCCCAAUUUCCAGCAGGGACAGGGGUUUUUGGGUGUUAAAAAUAACAAUCCACAGAGGCUCGUUAAGGAUGGUCAGGGUGCAACCAUUCACUGCCCCCCUCAUAUUAAUGCACCACUGAAUGCAAAUGUUAUGUAUCAUAUAAGCCCAGCGAGUGGCAGUCAGCAGCUUGUACUUGGCAGACAAGAUGGGGCCUCCAGUGGUACCUCUGCUUCUCUUGCAAUGGGUAGGAGCCCCAACCAUGUAAAUCAUGUAGUGAGUGGGCAGGAUUCAAGAAGGAUAGCAGUUCAAGCUCCUCAUCAGGGAAACCCACAAACACCAAACUCUUUGCAAAGUGCACAGGAAACAACAUAUAACCAACUGUUGUAUUUACUUCAAAAUCAGAACAAUGACAGCAGGACUGAGAUGAACAGGGUUCAACAUGGAGCACCUGUCCACACUGGCUCAUCAAACCACAGUCAGAUGUAUCCCUCUCAACUUCUCACUGGCAUCAACAACCAGGUCAAUGUACCAAAUGCUGCAAUGGGAAUGCCAAUGCAUAACAUUAGCCAGAAUCCUCAGUACAAUGUACAAAGUACAAAGUAUAACCCCCCUUUUAAUAAUUCUCCAAGACAUGUCCCCAUCUGCCCUAAAAGCCUUCCCAUCCCACCACAACAGAACAGACUCCCAUCUUAUUGUGCAAAUAAUAACAGUCAGUUAGGGCCCAUUGGAAAUAAUGCACACCAUGCCUCUCAUCCUAGGCUCCAUAUCCAAGGCACAGUCCCUACCCUACAUUACAAGCCAGACUGCACCAAUAUUCUGGUAUCCAACACUGGACCAUCUCCAUCUGUGCCAAACUAUAGUAUACAGUCCUCAGUCCAGCACAACCGUGAAACCGCGCCUCCACCAUACCCAGUCCAGCAGAUACGUAAGUCCGCGCCUCCACCAUACCCAGGCCAGCACUCCCAUGGGCCCGUCCUGAACAAGACAGAACAUGUGGUUGGGGCAGGAGCACAUUUUCUGCAACACUUGCCUAACCAAGGCGCAGCCCCUACCCUACAUUACAAGCCAAAAAACAAUUAUGUUCAGUUAUCCAACACUGGACCAUCUUCAUCUGUGACAAACCAUGGUAUGCUGUCUUCAGGCCAGCGAAACUGUGAGUCUGUGACUCCGUCACACCCCAUAAGACAGGGCUAUUACAUAACAGUAACAGAGGACGAAAGUGGAAAUGGAUUUAGAACAGAAAAUUGUAUUUUCAUAGGAGAUAAACCUAAUGAAAGUGCUCUGGUCUCGCAAGGAUCAUCUGCAAGUAAUGCCCCCUCUGUUCUUACGGCACAGAAGGCCAUUGCAGUUGUACAACCACUAUCGCAGUGUAUGCAGACAAACACACCUCUACAUGUGUCUGAUAAAAUCUCCUUGACCACCCAAGCUAUGUCUUUCUUAACAGGUGUUGGAAAUGUGAGCAAACCUGGGGAACAUUCUUGUGUCCAAAGUCCAUCACAAGGCCAAACAACCCUUGCUCGAUCUGCUUCUUUGACAAAUGAAUCAGAACAAGAAGUCCCCAGGAUCAGACUAGAAUCAGGGGCUGAUAAAACAUUGACUCAGGGUUCAGAAACUUCUGAUGUUGAAAUGGCCAAGACAUAUUCAUGUUUUAAGUCUCAACGGUCAUUAUCAAAUGGGUUACGUGCAGAGAAAUUUGAUUCUCAACCAUUAUCUAAUGUGGAAUGUCAAGCCACUCUGAGAAAAGAGUUAGCUGACACAGAAAUGACCACUCAUGUGAAUGUUAACCAAUUGAGUGAGGAAACAAAUGAAAAAGUCGAUUCCGAUGAGGACAUUUUUGAUUUGUCCUCCAUUCCUGUAAUCAAAUGGACCCUUGGUAAAUUGAAGGAGUUGGUAGAUACUGUGCAACGUCAAAAAUGCACUGCCACACCAGUUGAAAGCAAAAUACUAAGCCUCUAUUGGGAUGGAGAUGGGCCAAAGCUUAUGGAUGCUGCAAGAUCUGGUAUGUUACAAAAUAUAAUGCAAGAGGUUAGAUCUGUGUGUGGCGACGAUGACGAUAUGUCAUCACAGUCUGUCAUAUUUUCACAAGCCAGGCGCAAAAACUGGGGUCAAGUUGAAGAGAAAUGUGCUAUUCUUAAACAUGAUUCUGUUCACCCCGAGUUCCCGGCACAAGAGUCAUCAUGGUUGAACACAAAUAAGCAGCUUGAUGACAUAGACAAGGAGUUUGGAUUCCCAUGGUCACUAAGAUAUGACCAAAAGACUCUUCAAAGAGGAGAUGAACAACCAAAACUGAUUUGUACCGAAAAUGAAAAAUCUACAGCCUCUGCCAUUGACAUGCAGACUGAGGUCACUCAGGCGACGAGACCAACACCCUCUGAUUCUGAUGCUAAAGAAAUUCAAGGGUCAGGUUUGGCACACAGUUCCACCCAGACCCUCUCACUGGUUAAGAGAGAAAAAGCAGGUAUCAUUUUUAGUGACCCAUUUUCCUCCCUGGAGAUCAACGUGCUGACACCAGAAGAGGCUUUGCAGUUUUUCAGUGGGCAGCUACUACAAGAUGAAGUGAACGAAGACCUGUUGGAAUUGCCAAUGGAAAUGGAUGCGGAGCUGAUUGAGUUGAAAGAUUACUCAGUGGAGGAUAAAUCAUCUGAGAGGGUAGAUGUGAAGUUGACUGAUUUAAAACUCAAAAACAAAGGGGAUGUCCAAUCAGAAGAUUACUGUUGCCUCUCUCGUUGGAUGUCAGUGUUCAGUGGGUCCACCAAUUCUUCGUCCUGCAAAUGCCAAUACAAGACGAAAUUGGGUUCAGCAAAGGCCACUCUGAAUGCGACGGCAUUGGUUGAGGUAACAUUGUCUGUUGAACCCAGCACAACAAAAGCAGAACAAAGGGAAUGCGUGCAUUUGUGUAAAUCAAAUGGCACAGCAGAAGAAAAGCGUGAAGAGAAUCCUGUAAAAAAUGUGAAUCCUCAAUCUUGGAAAUCUACAGGCAUUGAAGAAUGCCAAACAAUUGUCUUGUCUGAUAGAAAAUCUGAGACUGCUCACAUAUACACAAAUGGGGUGAAGAGCUUGCCUUUGUCAAAAGCCCCAGCACUGCAACUCCCCAUCAACCACACAAACAUUGUUGAAAUUGAAGAGGUCUUCUCGCGUUAUGAAGACUUAAUCAAAGUAGCCACCUCAAUGUCGGAGCUAGUUUGGGACGAUGUACAGCCAAAGCAGAAACUACCAGGUCCGUUCCAGAAACAUGUGGAAUGUGUACAAGAACUUGGUGUUAUUUUGGAAGAAGGAAACCCUAGAGGUAGUGAAGUCGUUCCUACAGCUCCCAUUCCUACUUCUAAUCUGCAACCUGAAGUAACAGACAAAAUCGGUUUCCUUACAUCACUUUCCUUGGCACAAAGAUGUCACAAACAUCUAUCUCCUAAAACAAAUUGUAGCUACAAGGUUAAACAAAAAGGGGUUGGACUCAAGAGAAGAUGUGUUGAAAGUCCUCAUUCAAAUGUGCCUGUCCCAAGAAAGCAAAGGAAAAUGAGGGACGGAUUAGGUCCCUCCUUUCACCUUGUUCCUGAGGUCAACUUGACUGAUGAUGAUGAUGAAGAUUUUGAGCCCCCCAAUACAACUACUUCUAAGUCUUUGGAAGAAGAGAAACAUUCAAAAGGUAGCAAUCUCCAGAAGCCAACAGAACAUGGAAUUGGGAACAACAUUUGCAGGGUUGGCACAGUAAGUCUAGCCUUGUUUGGUUCCACGCUCCAACGCAAGGACCAUAAUGCUUCUCGAGCCAGACCUUUUGCAGACAAUGCUCCAGCACCUCCUGUAACCCUCAGUGUGAAUGUCAACUCCUGGACAACGGAGCCCUCCGAGACCAGUCCUCCAGUGGAAAGCCCAAUCAAACAAUGGAUCUUAAGCGAGUGGAAUAAUAGUUUUAUCCCGACAAAGACAAAGUCCAGGGGCAAAGUGCCAAGACUACAAAACAGAAGAGGCGUUGCUCCAAAAAUGAUUUGUGCUGAAAUGGCUAAAAAGAUUGUUGCCCUCACCAACACAGAUGGAGGUGCAUUAUCCUCUGAAAGGCGAGCCACACCAGAAAGAACUGUAAAGGCCAAGCAGACUUUGCGGCGCAUUGAAAGAGAAAGAAUCUUAAGCGGCCUGAAACUCAGACUGAAGAAAUCUAGGAUUGAGGCAGUGCCAUCCGGUAUCCCUGAUAUAGUGGAAAAGGGUAAAUAUGAAAUCGGAAACCCUGCUUCUUUGCCUCGUGAGGAGAACAGUCUUAUGUUUAGUGUGCUGCCGGAGUCAUUCAACUUCAAAGAAGUCAUGGACCCUCCGACACAGACAGGUUCAAUGAAUGACAUGGCUGGUCCAGUUGCUGUGAAGGCUGAGAAUCCUAAGGCAAUAGUCCAAAAAUCCAAAGGUGUAUGGUCUGUUGGCAUUCAGAAGAGAUAUUGUCCUCUCACCUCUUUGACCAUUAAAGUUCCCAAGACUUCCUCCACCACCUUCCAGAAGUUUCAGAAGAAAUUCAAGCAGAAGAAGUAGGCCUGGCAGCUGACCCACGACAAAUUGUAUUGCUUCCAGUUAUGGACUGGGGGAGUGGAGUGAGGACUGUCGGAUGACAAUCUGAUUCUUGUACCUUGUUUCCCAUGGAAAUAUAUGUACAAUUUUUGUUUUUAAUGACAAAUGUUCAUAACCAAUGUAUUUUCUUUGGGAAUGCAGAAAUUGACCUCAUUGUGGUAAGGUUGGGCAGCUCAUAAUACAGUUAUUAUUUACUGUAGUUAGCGUUUACAUUCUUAAGUGACUGAGAAUUUAUCUGACAGUGUCCUCUCUACCUCAGGCCUGACAGGUGUUGGUUACACUUUUCUUGGCUCUGUUAUUUACUUAACAAAUAAGGAACACUCAAUGUGCACUUAUAAAUCAGAACAAUUUUAAUCAAAAUACAGCUGUAGACAGAAGUCAAACAUCACACAUACAACUGAUGUCUCUCCUGAGUUCUGCCAAAUAGGAAAAGUCCAAGUUGCUUUUAAUAUGCUUGCAGUCAACCCCUAGUGAUGUAAAUGCCUACGUCAUUACCUUCUUCUCAUGAGUCAAAGUUUAUGCAUGCACAGCUAUUCAAACAAUAGUUCCAGUGUUAUCUAAAGGCUCAGCAGUAAAUGCCCACUCCCCAAGUUGAUUUAUGGUGGUAUGUCUGACUCGUCUCUUAUCUCUUUCACUCCCCUGCAGGGUUCUGUGUCUAUGAAUCUCUUAUAUUUGAGGCACUUUCUCACAGACACCUUGUUUUGACUGCAAUAACUCACAUCUCUCAGACCGUUUCUUAUAAGAAGCAGAGACUAGAAAAUAACUGGAACAAUAUUACACCUUAUAAUGCACAUAUAUUGUUAAUCUGUAGUCUAGGACCCUAUAAAUGUAAGGGGGAGGGCUCUUAUAACCCUUCCCCUUCUAUUAAUACAACCUAAGCAUAACCAAUUAUUAUUAUACAUCAAACAUUUGGUGCAGCCCAAGUCAUGACCCCAAGUUGACCCCAUCACAGGCAACAUUGCGAAACUUAAUCUAAUUUAAAAACCCUAAACUAAAGUUUUGUGUGUCAUUGGAUGGCUGUUUUUGUAAUGUUUAUUUUCUUGUCAGUGUUGUAGCUGACAUUUUUGGGGGGUAAACAGUAUUUUAUGCAAACCUCAUGUUUACUGUUUUGAACUAUGCAAAAUUGACUGCGGUUUGUAUGAAUUUGUAAGAUAUCAUUCUGCCCACCUCUCUACUGUUCCCUUUUACAAUCUUAUAACAAGUGGGUACCUUACCAAUAGUUAUUUUUCUGGCUUUUAAAUCGAUUCCGUUUGUUGACGCGGGAUGAACAGUAUUGUAUGAUUUAGAGAUCCUAAGCCAGCUGAAACAAGGUUGCUUUGCAGUAUUCUGGAUGCAUAUAGCAGGAAAACUAUGUAUUUGUUCUACCUAGUGUUAUUUCUUUAUGUUGGUAUAUGUUAUUUGUUUCUAUAAAAAAAAUGUACACUUAAAAAUAUAUUGUCAGCAGCAUCCUUCACUUGGCUCUUGUUGAUUUUAUAGGGGACUAAAGUAAGACAGGCAGGGUGCAUUCUUACCAGAGGUGUCUGUUGGUUAGGUGUGAAUGCUAACCCUUUUUAUGGUUAAAAGAAGGCUAUAUAGACUAAAGUGUAGUACUGGGAUGCAAACUCAAAAUGUAAUACAUUUCUAAUCUGCAAUUCUAAAUAUCUGACAUGGUACACGUGUGUAUUCUUUUUUUUUAAGCCCAUAACCAUGUGUGUGAGGUGUUUACUUUUGUUUCAAAGUUAAUCAUCUUUAAACACCAGUCUCAACAUCAACAGUGAAGAGGCGACUCCAGGAUGCUGGCCUUCUAGGCGGAGUUGCAAAGAAAAAGCCAUAUCUCAGACUGGCCAAUAAAAAUUAAAUAUUAAGACGGGCAAAAUAACACAGACACUGGACAGAGGAACACUGCCUAGAAGGCCAGCAUCCCGGAGUCUCCUCUUCACUGUUGACGUUGAGACCGGUGUUUUGUGGGUACUAUUUAAUGAAGCUGCCAGUUGAGGACUUGAGGCGUCUUUCUGAAACGAGAUACUCUAAUGUACUUGUCCUCUUGUUCAGUUGUGCACCGGGGCCUCCCACUCCUCUUUCCAUUCUGGUUAUAGCCAGUUUGCGCUGUUCUGUGAAGGGAGUAGUAAACUGCGUUGUACGAGAUCUUCAGUUUCUUGGCAAUUUCUUGCAUGGAAUAGCCUUCAUUUCUCAGAACAAGGAUAGAUUGACGAGUUUCAGAAGAAAGUUAUUUGUUUCUGGCCAUUUUGAGCCUGUAAUCGAACCCACAAAUGCUGGUGCUCCAGAUACUCAACUAGUCUGAAGAUGGCCAGUUUUAUUGCUUCUUUAAAUCAGCACAGGUUUUCAGCUGUCCUGACAUAUUAGCAAAAUGGGUUUUCUAAUGGUCAAUUAUCCUUUUAAAAUUAUAAACUUGGAUUAGCUAACACAACGUGCCAUUGGAACACAGGAGUGUUGGUUGCUGACAAUGGGCUUCUGUACACCUAUGUAGAUAUUCCAUAAAAAAUCAGCCGCUACAAUAGUCAUUUACAACAUUAACAAUGUCUACACUGUAUUUCUGAUAAAUUUUAUGUUAUGUUAAUGGCCAAAAAUGUGCUUUUCUUUCAAAAACAAGGAUGUUUCUAAGUGACCCCAAACUUUUGAACGUUAGUGUAUAUGGAUAGAAACAUUACCCCCAGGUUGAACUGGGGGAGGUCAUCAAUAAUCUGGUAAUGUGAAAUUUCCUGGCAAUGAUUGAUGCCCAGUACAAUUCUACAAACACUUGUCACAAAUUACUAAAGCCUGUUACUUAUGUUCACAGCAGCUAUUAGUACAAAAGCAAUCUCUACUGAAUUUUUUUACAUAAUCCAUCAUACCAGGAACUUGGAACGCUCCAAAAGUGGCAGUAUCGUUAGAUGCUGAAAAAAAUAUUUGGAGUAGAAUGGGCAUAAAAAAGUAGUUUUUUUGUCUGUUAUCUUGUUGGAUUGAGCUAUUGUACCAUCAUUUAAGUUAUCAAGGGAGACAAGGAUGCUGUCUGUCGUUAUCUAUUUGCUUUAGCCACAGAACACACAACGCCACCGUUGCAGGAACAAUCCAUCACAGCUGCUUACUGCCAGAGGCCAACCAACAGGAUACAUCCAGACAGACUGGACUCAAGCAAGAAGUGUGGGAGCUAGUGUAAUAUAUUAUUGAUAGGCUGGGCAGAUGCUAUACUGAAGUAGCAAGGACAUAAGCACGAAGGCGUACAUUAAGCUGAACAUAAGUGCAAAGGCCAAAGCCAGAAGCACUUAGGACACCAGGACAAAUCAAUACUAGAAGGACACACCAAGGAGAGUGCUUGCCAACGGACCAACAGAUGGGACAUAAGCAUGAUAGAUAUAUAAUUUUUUUUAGGACAUGAAAGGGUCCUGCCACCAUUAUAAACUAACCAAAAGCAGAGAUGGGCGUGAACAAGCAAGAAACUUGAACUAAAAGAUAAUGGUGGCAGAAGGACUGAGGGAAGGAACUUCAUUUGCAUGUGGGAUAGACUGAUAUGCUGUAUGUGUAUAAAAGCAGGGCCAGUGCUCAAGGAAAACGGUUGUUCCGCAGACCAACACGGCUUAUGAAUUCACAAGUUCUUGUAAGUGUCAUAUUUCUAAGACAAUUUCCACCACAGAAGACAUAGGGAACCAUUAUCUUGGGAAUUAUGUUAUGUGAGAUCAAAUGCAUAACAUGAGUGAACUGGUGCGGAUCUCAAAGAUUAUUUUUUUUUUACCUUUAUUUAACAUGGCAAGUCAGUUAAGACCAAAUUCUUAUUUUCAAUGUCAGCCUAGGAACAGUGGGUUAACUGCCUGUUCAGGGGCAGAACGACAGAUUUGUACCUUGUCAGCUCAGGGAUUUGAACUUGCAACCUUUCGUUUACUAGUCCAACGCUCUAACCACUGGCUACCCAUGAACACAGGGAAAUAUCAUUCAUUUUUUAAAAUUGUUUUUUUACUUUGACACAUGAAAUGUACUGUAUCCAAAGUAACCAUGUGAUUUAAUAUUGCAUGUUAUCUAUAUCAGAGAAGGCUGGUGGGAGGAGCUAUAGGAGGGCAGGCUCAUUGUAACGGCUUGAAUGAAAUAUAUGGCAUGGAGUCAAACACAUUUUUUCCAUUAGUUUGUUUUUGGUACCAUUCCAUUGAUACCAUUCCCAUUACAAUGAUCCAUUCCUCCUAUAGCUACUCACACCAGCCUCCUCUGGAAUAUAUAUAUAUAUAUAUAUAUAUAUAUAUAUAUAUAUAGCAAGCUAAACAUUUCUCCCUACUGAAAAGCCAAUUCUGACGUGUUUUACGAAACUAAUAAGAAUUGCCUCUGGCCUGCGUUGAAACGGCUGCCAGUUUAUGCGCAUCUCUAUUCUCCUGAACACGCAACAAAGCCGCAUGCUCACACGACACCCAAACAUUAGUUUGUUUAUGUUUCUCCAACUGUACCAUGGUAAUGAAUGUGUCCGGAGUCGGGAAGAGACAGACAGCCUGCAUUUCUCAGCCAGUCGAAAUCAUGAAUCACCUGCUAUCAUUUUUAUGGAUAUAUACAAAGAAAUGUCAAUUGAAAAAAGGUGAAACGAAGUACCGAG
ensembl:lncRNA